rnacentral:rRNA from 1 species
AGCGAACGUUAGCGGCGGGCCUAACACAUGCAAGUCGAGCGAGAAAGUGGCUUCGGCCAUCAGUAAAGCGGCGGACGGGUGAGUAACACGUAGGUAAUCUUCCCUUGAGCGGGGGACAACGUUUCGAAAGGAACGCUAAUACCGCAUACGUUUCCAGGGACCUCGGUCCUUGGAAGGAAAGCUAGGUCGGGCGUUAAACCCCGGUCCGGCACUCGAGGAGGAGCCUGCGUCGCAUCAGCUAGUUGGUGGGGUAACGGCCCACCAAGGCGAAGACGCGUAGCUGGUCUGAGAGGAUGAUCAGCCACACUGGGACUGAGACACGGCCCACGACUCCUACGGGAGGGCAGCAGUGGGGAAUAUUGGACAAUGGGCGCAAGCUNAUCCAGCCACGCCGCGUGAGUGAUGAAGGGCCU